UAACGGUAAAGAGGAAGAAAAUGACGCCGUCGAGCUUCCUUUGGUCCUCUGAUUCUGUCGCAACACGGAGAGGGAAAAAAAUGAUCGCCGUCGCUG